UACGGGGGGGGCAAGCGUUGUUCGGAAUUACUGGGCGUAAAGGGCUCGUAGGCGGCCAACUAAGUCGGACGUGAAAUCCCCAGGCUCAACCUGGGAACCGCGCUUGAGACUGGCAUGCUCGAGUUCGGGAGAGGAUGGUGGAAUUCCCAGUGUAGAGGUGAAAUUCGUAGAUAUUGGGAAGAACACCGAUGGCGAAGGCAGCCAUCUGGACCGACACUGACGCUGAGGCGCGAAAGCGUGGGGAGCAAACAGG
rnacentral:rRNA from 1 species